UUAACUUUGGAUGAUGACCUUGAUGUGGUUCGGAGAGACCAGAUUCCUGUCUUCUGAACCUCCAACAUUAAGAGGAAGGGAGGGAGCGAUCAAUCUUGGUGCUGUUUCACGAAAAUUACAGUGACCGCAGCAAAGUAACCACUGCCAGAUGCCCCACUCACCCUCUGUAGAGCCAGCUCUGCUUUCACACAGGAAGGACAGGGGCUGCGGGAGAUUUAAACCUGCAAGAAGGGAGGCAGAAGGGGAGCCAUGUUUUGAGGACAGACGCAAACCUGAGGAGCUGAGAAACACUCACUCCUUCCAUCUGCGGCUCUGGGAGUGCAACAGGAACAGGCGCUGCACCCAAGUCAACUCGCCAUCUUGGGGCCCCUCCCACCCUCAAGGAGACUUGCCGGCAAUGGCAGAAUGCUGCUGCACGCUUCCCUCCGGUUGUCGCCCUGCCCAGAAAGGCCAGCAGCUUGGAUUCCUGCCCAGAAACUGUGUUGGCCCCCUUCACACCUCUGCAACACCCGCUGCUCCAGCAGGAGGAUGUGAUUCCUUAGAAUAUGGUGGGGAGGUGACCCCAGGCCCUGCCCUACUGGGAUAGAUGUUCUAGUGGCACCAGCUAGUCACUUCCCAGAAGAAACUCUGUAUAUUUCCCCCGGGUUUCUGAUGCCAUCAGAAGGGCUCAGGAGUGGGGUUUGUCACACAUUCCUGUUAACAAGUAACUGUCACUGGGACCAAGGCCUGGGUGCUUACAUAUUCCUUCGUGUCUUCAUCUCACUGACCUGUGUGGACCUCAUCACUCUGACUCUGCCUUCUUGGAAAGGCCCUGUCACUCCACAGAUGUCUGGCCAGCUUCAAGGCAGAAGGAGAAACAGGGAAAGCUUUUUUAACAGCAGCACGAACAAGAGAAAUGACUAACCAUACUAAAAGACUGGUAACAGCAGCAGCAGCCAGACAGGCCUCACCUUAAGGACUUGGGCUGCCAGAGCAAAUUCAGCAGCGUGAGCAGUGCUUACUUGGCCCUCCCAUUCACACAGCUCAGUUCUGUGCCCACAUCACCUUUAGGGAAGAAAUCAGCGUUCUAACCAGGGACACUACUUCAGGAGUCCUCCACAGCGAGUCUGCCAUCUGUCACUUUAUGUAGAUCAGGGUUCUAGACUUCCUCCCUGAAGUUAUCAGAAGCAACUCUCAGGAUG